CCUACGGGAUGCUGCAGUGAGGAAUAUUGGUCAAUGGCCUCACGGCUGAACCAGCCAAGUCGCGUGAGGGAAGACUGUCCUAUGGAUUGUAAACCUCUUUUGUCAGGGAGCAAAGCGCGCCACGUGUGGCGGUUUGCGGAGUACUUGAAAAAAAGCAUUGGCUAACUCCGUUCCCGCAGGCGCGGGAAUACGGAGGAUUCGAGCGUUAUCCGGAUUUAUUUGGUUUAAAGGGUGCGCAGGCGGAAUGGCAAGUCAGCGGUAAAAUUUCGGGGCUCAACCCCGUCGGGGCGUUGAAACUGGCGUUCUUGAGUGAGCGAGAAGUAUGCGGAAUGCGUGGUGUAGCGGUGAAAUGCAUAGAUAUCACGCAGAACUCCGAUUGCGAAGGCAGCAUACCGGCGCUCAACUGACGCUCAUGCACGAAAGCGUGGGUAUCGAACAGGAUUAGAUACCCGAGUAGUC
rnacentral:rRNA from 1 species